rnacentral:lncRNA from 1 species
UUUUCUUUUAAGAAUGAGACAGGGAGUUGAGUGGGUGACAAGUUAUUUUCUUUCUAAUGCUUAUGGGCUGUGACUAGAGCCUGCAAUGGAUGAGGACGGAGAGGACCAAAUUAGCUCAGAUUCUAUAUAGUUUACAGAACAGGCUGCUUUUAUUUGUUUUUAGAUAUGAGCCAAAAAAAUUAGAGGGAGGGGCAAAAAUAUCAAUGAAAAUAAUCCAUAGUUCUGAAGUGGAGAGAGUUUCUCAAUGUUUCCGAGUCAAAAUUACACUACAGCCCAGACAGCUUUCAAUUCACAAUCUCUUCGUUGAAUGACAGGAGAGAAGGAUAGGAGGAUAGGAGGAGAGAGCUGCUCAAAGGCUGCAGCUAUGGAACUCUGGCAACUUUGGGCCCUUGUUGGCAACAAUGGACUAGAGCUGAAAGCAAAUGCCCCCUCGAUGAAGAAACCAGCUCAUCCACAAACCACAGCGCAGCACGUCAGGAGUGCAAGAGAGGAAGUUAGGCUCACCAAGUUGCGAGGUCCUUAACAGCUGACAGGGCGAACCCUGUGAUCCUUCUCAAAUAUAUGUUAUGUUAACAUUUGCACUCGCAGCUAGAAGCAUCUUACUGACAAGGCACGAGAAGAUCUGCAAUUUCCCUCUUCCUCUCUGUGAGGCAGGGAGAGAGCAGGUAUGACUAAUAACUACCAUUUCGCAAAGCUCUGCUGAAGCCAGAGAGAGAGUGGGGGCGUUCCCUGUGAGCUGCACUGGGAAUAGCCCAGGACCUGAACCUGUUCUUGGCUUGAAUCCUGGCUCCACUAAUGACUCUGGGACUUUAAGCAAUUCUCUGUCUGAGCCUCAGUUUGCCUAUCUGCAAACUGUGGAUGAUGCCACCUAUUUUGUUGGGUUGACGUGCCGACUAGACAUAUUAACAGAGGAGCGGGGGAGGUGUUUGAUGGAUCCACAGUUCCACGCUGAAUUGACAGUGGUAGCUCAGACCCAGGCCAAUAUCCACGCAUGGUGUGUCCUCUUCGCAGAGUGUUUUGAACACUGUGGGGAAGGCUGCCUAUACCUCUUAGUGCUCAGGAUGGUUUAGAUUGCAAAGACAGAUUUUUUUAAAUCUUUAAAGUGUUUUUGUGAAAAUAAAAUUUAAUUCAUGCUAAAGAAAUUAGUAGGAGACUUCUUCCUUUUCCUACUCAUUUAUCUAGUAUUUAAUGCUCAGGCACAGCAGACCUGAGUGGGUUAUAGACUCAGGGAUUCCCUCUGCAAUAGUCAUUGGCGUUAUUGCAAGGGCAGGGAGAGCAAGGCUGGGAUGGAG